UAGAAAUUGAAAUUGAUAAAUGAAUUUCUCAUUUAGAAUGGAUUUUCAAUUUUUAAUUUUUUAACACUCAAAUGAGAAAUUGCAUCACCACUGGCCUCUGCCCAAUCUCUUCACCACACUCCGGUCUGAUGGUCUUCCCUCUCGCGCUCUCAGUCUCAAUCUCAUUCUUAAUCGCUACUUUCUGAUCGAAAGAAUCCAAAAACUGUGGCAUUUUGAAAUCGACUCAUCUUAUUCUCUGCCCGAGUCUCCUUCAAAACCCCACUUAGUGAGAGAAGCUUUUCUCAGAAGCUAGAGAGAGAAACAAAAUCAACAGAGUAGAGAGAGAGAGCUUCAAAACCCAUAACUCUUUCUCUCUUCUUUCUCUCGAGCCCCCUAUCUCUGGUUUCCCUCUCUCUUUCUCUCUCCCGAGCCCCCUAUCUCUGGUAUAUUUUAUGUCCGAAUUAUUUAUCAAUUUCUAUAUAUAUUCAUGUAUCAGAAGAUGGUUGUGUGUGCUGAUUUGAUAUGCGGUGCAAAGAUGUGGUGAACACCAUGGAAGUGGGGAAUGAAGCGAUCUCAUCCAUUUGUUUAAGUCUGGAAAUGAAAACAUCAUUUAUGUUUCCUCGGGAAGUGAAGUCAAGAGCUUUGAUGUCCAUCUGGCCUUCUCUUGGAAGCCGUUGGAGACUUAUGAAUAUAAUAAGGAUGAGAUAAAUCAGGUAGACAUUAAGUUCAUUCUCUUAC